rnacentral:lncRNA from 1 species
CAGAAUGUUCCUUGCUGCAGAUGCAUUGGCCCCAUCUGCAGGUCCUCUUUGACACCUACCUUACUCUCUCCCUCCACUCACACUCUGAGAACUGUGCUCAGGGGCAGCGCUACAACUUCCACAUUGGUCUUUACAGGGCUUGAGUGAUUAUUUCAAGAACAGAACGCUGUGUGGAAACCUUUACCAUAUUUCGUUGUAUCUAAGACACAUUUUUUUUUUUUGAAAUUUAACAUCUCUAAGGUUGGGUUAUGUUUCUUCAUCAUUGUCAGGUUGGAGCUUAAUCAGCAGCACUUUUUUUUAAUGUCACACACAGUAAUGGUGAUGCAUCUCACAAUUGAGAUCAUCUUAGACAUGAUGGAAUAUGGAAUCGUGUGCCUGUUACAAGCCAGGCUCUUGUCUGGGUUCUAGAGACGGUGGAAACCAAGACAGCACCAUCCUCUAGUGGUGUUCACAUCCCACCACAGUGGAGUCAGGACUUUGAAGUCCUCCAUUGGAUCUUCUCGGAAGAUGAGGGAAAUGAGAGAGUGUGGAGAGAGAUUUUGUAAGUCCGGUCUGGAAGUGGUCAUUGUUCAGAAUCCAGCCACGUGGGUACAUGGAACUGUAAGGUAUGUGAGACACCAACCAGAGUUCGUAAUUCUAAUGACCUCUCCAGAUUUAUGGCUGCAGCAUUCCCAAGAAGGGGUAGGGAGGGGCAUAUAAUGAGCUACCCUCAGGGGAUCAGAAAGAAAAGGGAAGCUGUCUCUUAGCGAAGAAUAAAACUGUGGACUGACCCCCACCCAUUUGCGAAGAAAGUACUGGGUCUUCAGCUUUCAUUGUUCAGCCGGUGGUCUUUGUGGACAACACCAGGGGCCCCUCCUGCUGAAGACUGUCUGGACUUCCUGAUUUUCACUCCUGUAUAAACCCCCUCCCCCAUUACUACCUUUGUCUCCUUGGGGAAAAAAAAUGUUUUUCACUUAAGCAAAAUAAUAACUACCCAGUAUUUGUUUCUGGAGUGAAAUUGUAAACUUCAUUGUACAUUCUUCCUGGCUUUGAUGCUUAUCGUGAAGAGUUCAGUGAAAAUAAAUUGUUUUUAUGAAAGCAGAGAAACCAUUUGAUA